UGUUUUUAGGCCAUUAAAUAGACAUUGAUGCAUAUAGUGUUUGUUAAUUCCAUAUCGACUCACAUGGAAAAUUGCGAUGUUUUAGCAAGCCCACUAUUUUUCUAAUUAACUGAACAUAAUCUAAAAACCAAUAUUGGGGAAGCGAUGUUCUCCUGGUUAGGAUACAGGGCUGCUAAUUAUCGUUGUUGCCCGACCUCAAACAAAUGGACAACGAUCACACCUUGGAACCUGCAACCUACAAACAGAGGUGCUUGCUUUUUUGUAAAUUAGAUCAUCAAAUUAACUACUACAGAAAAAAAACUAAGAACAAUCACCUUGAAUUAUUGCAGGAAAGGUAAAAGCAGUCUUAAAUUAACUACUAUUAUUUUUACUGAUGUACUAUUGUUCAGACUGAUUAUGAACUACUACAGAAAAAACAAACAGUUGAACUGAACUAUUACAUGAAAGAUAAAGCAGUCUCAAAUCCUUUGUUCUUUCCGAGUUGAAAAACUCCUUCUAGAGCAAAUGGUAAAGCUGGCCAUGAAAAGGAACACACGCUAAAAUGCCGACGAAAGUGAAUCGAUUAAAAUAAAUAUAAAAAUCUGUAUGUGAACAAUAAGGACGGGGUUAGUGCUUUUAAGCACCAUAUCAAGAUCCUUUCUGCUCACAACAAAUCAAUUUUUACCUACCAAUUCCAAAGAGUUUUUGAGAUAUUGUACACCACAGAAUUCUGGACCAGAUUCCUUUAUUAGGGAUUGGCACAUAAUAGCCUAUGACAUGAAAGAUAAUGCUUAAAAUUAAAUGGUUGACAAGAAACCUGAGCAUCCAACCCAAUUCGAUUCAGUCGGCAUGUAACCACCAGAGAACCAUCAGAUCUGAUAAAGAACAUGUCUAUGGGGCGGAAUGCAUGAUACAAGGCAAGGUGCCUUUAUGUGUCAGAUCUGAAAUGCAAUGCACACAAAAAACAACAAGUAAAUUAUCAUCAAAGUAGUAAUACAUCCUCGCACAAAAGUUGUGCAAACAGUUGCAUCCAAGAGUUAUGAUAUAUAAGGCAUAGUUGCACAAUCCUUCCGAUGAAAUAUUUAUACACAAAAUAGCAAGAGAAAUGUUGCAUUGUUCACAACAUGGUAAGAGUGACAUGGCUUCUAAUGUUACAAAUCAGUCGCCAAAUGUUUUCAGCAAGAAACUUCUUGCUGACAAGGAGGUGAUUUACUAUUUUAUUUGUUCCAUUUGAAAUUCACAUUACAGAAGGGGGAAAUAGGACAAAGAAAGUACAGGAAAAGAUGCAGUGUCUAAAUGAAAAGCAGAAUAGAUCAAUUUUGUUCCAAUAUGCACUGUCUAAAUAAGCACUUCCAUUGCAGGCAUAAUCAGGGGAAAACAGAACAAAGAAAGGACAAGAUAAGAUGAUGUACAUGAAUGGCCUCACCUACAUGUUUUGUCGGUAGACCCUAACAACAAAUUCUUGUGUACUUGUCCAAAUGUGCUUUUACACUGAACACAUAAUUAACGCCCCACAAUUGUAAUAUGACCCAUCUUACUUUGCUUCCAAAUAUGUGGAAGAACAAUUCUUUAAAUAAUACUCAAUGGCACAAGAAUGCAAUAAGC
rnacentral:lncRNA from 1 species